CUGGUAUUAUUUUAUUUCAAUUUCAUAUGUCUUGUUUUCCAUUUUAAUGAACUUUAUUAUCUGCACGUUGAACAAUGUAUAUAUAUAAUAUGAACUUGAACUAUGAUUCUCCACCACUUCACCAUUAUAGUUGUAAGGAAAGAAAGUUGGCCAGAUCUAGAAUCAAACCCACCAUUGUACGCAUGGCUCCACAAGCAAGCACCAUUUUUGACAUCUUAGUCACAAACAAUGUGCCAAUCGACGGAAAGCAUUGUCUUUAAACUCUUGCCAAAGUAAGAUCCGUCAGUAACUUAAUACAAAUGGAGCGCUCAUAACACACUUUUGGGCAUCUCUUAAUUUACUCUACCUGCAGCAAAUGAAGGUUAUGAAUUAACACCAUGCAUUCUUAGUGGUUGACAUAAUGAUGCUGAAAUUUUUUGUGUUUUCUAAGUCCGAACAAUUAACACAACGUAUAAGAAAAAUCUAAAUAGCAUAAUGUGCACCACAUUUCUAAACCAAAUUAAUACUUAAAUUAACA
rnacentral:lncRNA from 1 species